AGCGUAGACGGUGUGGCAAGUCUGAUGUGAAAGGCAUGGGCUCAACCUGUGGACUGCAUUGGAAACUGUCAUACUUGAGUGCCGGAGGGGUAAGCGGAAUUCCUAGUGUAGCGGUGAAAUGCGUAGAUAUUAGGAGGAACACCAGUGGCGAAGGCGGCUUACUGGACGGUAACUGACGUUGAGGCUCGAAAGCAUGGGUAGCAAACA
rnacentral:rRNA from 1 species